rnacentral:tRNA from 1 species
UAGGUAGAAGUUUGUUGGAUUGAACGCUUAGCUGUUAACUAAGAUUUUGUAGGAUCAAGGCCUAUCUAUCUAG